UCUCCUUGGUCACAUGACUCGGUCAUUCCCCUCCAUUUUUGUCUCGGCUUAUCCGCUUCUUCUCUUUCUUCAUCUCUGCAAAAAAAAUGGUUCUCUGUUAGGGUUUGAGGAUUUGGAUUUGGGUUUCGAUUUGAAGUUUCAGUUUGAAGCAGAAGAUUAGGAACAACUGGAGUUGGAGAGAUUCUUGGAAGAAGAAGAUGAUACUGGGUUCCAACUUCUACUAAAUAAAGGUGACCGAACUAAAGGAAAAGGAAGGCUAGAACGAACUAAAGGAAAAGGAAGGCGAGUACUACGUUUGGCUUGAGUGACUUCACAAAACGUCAGUUGAAGCAGUAGUAGCCAGCCGGGGAAAUGUCUAGCGGGAACUGAGUUUGUACUUGCGAGGUAAUACUCUAGCGGGAACUGCAGUGUAAUUGGAGAGGUGGAAGGUGGAAUUAAGGUACUUUAUUGAUAUCCUUAGGACCAUUGUGUUGUUGUUGUAUCAAUCUGAACCAUGUAAUAUGUGGAUCAGGAUAGGUUGGGGUACUUGUAUUUUCGACAACUCCCUACUUUUUUUUUCUCAUUUUGUAUAUACCUAAAAUCACUUCAUUUCUGUGUACAUGCUGGUAACAAUGUUACGACUGGUGGGGAAGCUUGCUUUACUUUGGGGUGGUCUUCGUGAUGCUAUGAUCUUGACUGACAAGCUAAGUUCUUACACAUUUCAAGAGCGCCCCUUGCCUCAGAGGUUUGGUGAAUGGUCUGUGGGAUGGAUCGAAUGUGAUGAUGGCUUGAGAAUGUUUCCUUCUUGGAAGAGAUGACUCGUGCAAGAGCAAUGGGCAUUGAAGUUACUGCAUAGCUGCUGCGGCAUUGGAUUCAUCAACUUCAUCAAAUUCUGCUUCAAAUGUGAAGGCAACUGAUUAUGUGAGUCCUGUUUUUGUUGGUUGAUUCUUAUCUCAUAUACUUAGGAAUAUUGUUGGUUGAUUCUUAUCUCAUAUACUCUAGGAAUAUAACCUAGAAAUUAUGCAAUAAAAUAAAAAUGUAGAAAGAACAAAAUUUAGUGUUAAUAAAGGAAGUUAUUGUUGAA